rnacentral:rRNA from 1 species
AUUGAACGCUGGCGGCAGGCCUAACACAUGCAAGUCGAGCGGAGCGGCGGACGGGUGAGUAAUGCCUAGGAAUCUGCCUGGUAGUGGGGGAUAACGUCCGGAAACGGGCGCUAAUACCGCAUACUAUCAGAUGAGCCUAGGUCGGUUUAGCUAGUUGGUGGGGUAAAGGCGUACCAGGGCGACGAUCCGUAGCUGGUCUGAGAGGAUGAUCAGUCACACUGGAACUGAGACACGGACCAGACUCCUACGGGAGGCAGCAGUGGGGAAGAUUGGACAAUGGGAGAAAGCCUGAUCCAGCCAUGCCGCGUGUGUGAAGAAGGUCUUCGGGUUGUAAAGCUCUUUAAGUUGGGAGGCGUUACCAGCAGAAGAAGCGCCGGCUAACUACGUGCCAGCAGCCGCGGUAAUAC